UACAGAGGUCUCAAGCGUUGUUCGGAUUCAUUGGGCGUAAAGGGUGCGUAGGCGGCGCGGUAAGUCGGGUGUGAAAUCUUGGAGCUUAACUCCGAAACUGCAUUCGAUACUGCCGUGCUUGAGGACUGGAGAGGAGACUGGAAUUUACGGUGUAGCGGUGAAAUGCGUAGAUAUCGUAAGGAAGAUCAGUGGCGAAGGCGGGUCUCUGGACAGUUCCUGACGCUGAGGCACGAAGGCCAGGGGAGCAAACGGG
rnacentral:rRNA from 1 species